GGCUCCGUCACCCCGGCGGCCGCGGGGCGGGGCGCCAGGCAGUGGUGACAGCGUCCAUGGCUGCUGCGUCGGGGACGGUUCGCCUGCAGCGGUGCGUGGUGUCGCCGGCCGGGAGGCACAGCGCCUCUCUGAUUUUCCUGCAUGGCUCAGGUGAUUCUGGCAAAGGAUUGAGAAGAUGGAUCAAAGAGGUCUUAAAUCACGAUUUCGCAUUCCAGCACAUAAAAGUUAUUUACCCAACAGCCCCUCGCAGGCCAUAUACUCCUAUGAAAGGAGGACUCUCCAAUGUAUGGUUUGACAGAUUUAAAAUAUCUAAUGACUGCCCAGAACACCUGGAAUCAAUCGACGUAAUGUGUGAAGUGCUUACAGAUUUGAUUGAUGAUGAAGUCAAAAGCGGCAUCAAGAAAAACAGGAUAUUAAUAGGAGGAUUUUCUAUGGGAGGCUGCAUGGCGAUGCAUUUAGCAUAUAGAAACCAUCGAGAUGUGGCAGGAGUUUUUGCUCUUUCCAGUUUUCUGAAUAAAUCAUCGGUUGUUUACCAGGGUGUCCAGAAAAGUGAUGGAGUGCUCCCCGAAUUAUUUCAGUGUCAUGGCACUGCCGAUGAGUUAGUUCUUCACGCUUGGGCUGAAGAGACAAACUCAGCGUUGAAAUCUCUAGGAGUGAGCACGAAGUUUCACAGUUUCCCCGGUCUUCACCAUGAGCUAAGCAAAGGUGAGCUCGAAAAACUGAAGUCGUGGAUUCUCACGAAGCUUCCAGGAGAAACGGCAGCUACUAGUUGCUGGAGCAAAACAACAGAGCAAACCAAGACAGAUGGAGAGAGAUGGAGGGGACACCCAUGACGACUGCGGCGCGGGUUUAGAAAACGACUCACCUGGAGAGCGACGGGAGGAAGCGGGGCUCCGAAGAAGAGGUUUCUGAGCUAAUUGGAAUAUAAUUUUUAUGAAUUCCACCAAGAGUCAAGUUGACUGUUUAAGCUGCAUCCAUAUGAAACCACUGCAAACAACAGAGUGAAGGUCGGCGACAUCCCUGUAAGAAAGUCAGACCAGAUGUGAACAAGAUGAGGACCCUACCUGACAACAGUGGGGAAAAGCAUGGUGUCCGGCGUUUCAGGCAGCCACUUGACGUUCUGAAACAGUUUCAUAUGGACCAGGCCAGGAAUGGGACAGUGCAGCGGUUGUCGGAGAAUGGCAGAGUUGGAGGAGGACAGUUUCCUUACAUGUCCAGGUGACACCCACAUACUGACAUCAUCACUCCCUCCAUUCAUAGCAACAGAGACCACAGCGAGAGGGUGUGGAGCCCAGGCUGCUGCUCCAUCUGAUCAUGGCCCUACUUCCUGCUGGGCCAGGAAGGACCGCCUCUCCCCUUGGUUUGGGCUGACAUUUAGGGAGGAGCAUGUUAGAAAGAGAGCUGAGGUGGACAGGUUCAAGUCUUCCUUCCCCAGUGAGUAGUGUGACCUUGGCAAAAUGACUUGACUUUGCUGUGUUUGGUUUCUUACAUAUAAGAGAGGAAUAAUGAUAUAGCUAACAUAUAUCGAGGGCUUAUUAUAGAACAACUAUUCUUCUAAGUGCUUAAAUUAUAUUAAGUAAUUUAAUUCCUACAGUGUGUGUUAUCAUCAUUAUCCCAUUUUAUAGAUGAGAAAACUGAGGUACAAACUAUUUAAGUGAUUUGCUUAAGGUCACAGCUAAUAAAUGGCAGAGCUAGGAUCCAAAUAAGCAGUGAGAUGCCUAAGUCCUAAGUCUACCUCUGUGUUUUACUGGCUGUAGUUGUAAAGUUAAUACAGUUUAAUUGUAUAUUCAUCUGUAUGAUUAUUUGUCUAAAGUCUGUCUUCUUUGCUAGACUAAAGUCACCUAACCUUGUUAAAUCAAGACAGUUAUAAUGGCACCUACCUCAUUGAGUUGUUUGUAGGAUUUGGGGAGGAAAUACAGAAUACAUAAUGCCUUUAGCAUAGGGCCUGGCCACAGGAAGUGCUGGAUUCCAGGUGGCUCAUAGAAUACGUACUCAGUGAUCAGAUGCACUUAUCUUGUGGUCGCUAGUUUUUGAUCAUGCUUACAAACACGCCAUCUCCUGUCUAACUACGUCAUUACGCCUCGACCACCUUAUUUAUUGCCUAUAUUCAGGUAGUCCAGAAGAAAAGAAAAUUUCUGAGACAAUUAAAGAAAGUUCUUACUAUUUCAGAAAAAUUCCACAGCUCCAGGGGUCCACUCCCAUUAUGGAAGAAUUUUCUCCCCACUGAAUAAUCACUCUAAAGAACGACUAAAAAUUGCUUUUCUAGUUCUAUAGUCGUAAGAUCCACGCAGUAGAAACUUCACGAGAAGAUUUCAGGGCUCAGUUAUGGCAAAUGAGCUUAAUUAACAUAGCUGACCACCAAGUCUCACAAGUUUGCUCAGAGGUGGCCGUCACCGUGUCGCAGUAGAAGCGGCAGCGAAGCGGUCGGGUCAGCAGUUAUGAACAAGCAUGCUGCGAAGGCCCCUUCGUAUUUUAUCUCCGUUACCACAGCGACUCAGUCAGAUGCCAAGUGCAGUCGGACAGACGGGAAACACGGCAAAAAGGAAUAGACGUAGAGAGAGAGCAACUAUGACUUCGGGGGCCUCCUCUUUUGAAAACGUUAGGUUUUGCGUGUGGGCUUCUGAAUUUUAUUUGCAGACGCUUUACAGAAGUGAAGCACAGGCCGCCAUCCCGCGAUGCCAGCCCAACGAGGCUUUCUGGAGCGUGAAAGGCAGUAUUCCUACCGGGGUUGCACUGCGGUUUACGAAGGUGAGAGCUGGAGCCCCCUGCAGAGGGUGACGGUGACUCCGGACGUCACUGUUAACAUCGCAGGUGUCAGAGAGGGGUGGCUGAAGGCGACGGUCAUCAACCGGCCACCGAGCUCUGCGUCAGUCUUUUUUUUCCGUGACCGUGUCUCUUCUGAGCUGCCAACCGGCAUUACGACUGCUACGGGGACUCAUGGGCUCAGAAAAUUUCGAGUUUUAUUUUCCAUUUUAAUUGUGGUUUAAAUUUAUAGGAAACCCGGAAAUGGCCAAAUUUUCCAUUUAAAAUAGCCCGGCAGAGUUUGUGACCCAGAACAGUCUCUAAACACAAAAAUCCCAAAUUAGUUUUCUCGUGACUUUGGCCCUUAGGCAGGUACUGGCUAUAAAAGGCUGUGUGGCCUUGAUGGGUCUGCCUGGGAACACACUUUCAAAAAAUUUCCAGAUCUUCGUCCUGCCAUGACGGUCGGAAGAUUUUUGGCUUCCCUUCGAAAGCCAUAAAACCAGAAAGCAGAUCUGAGAAAAACCCACAGCUGCAUACAUCUGAUGACAGUCUUCAACGGAUUUCCCAGAGAUAGGGAGCUCAGCAAAACCCGUACCCCAUGAUGUCAACACACACUGAACCUUUCCUCCCUGAGCCAGUGGGUAUUCUGCGGAAGAUUUAAUCCAUCUGUCCCUGAUCUGCUUACAGUUAACUCAUCAAAAAUGCCGUUUGCAUAAGCGUUGCCAACGUUUCAUGGGCUUUUAUUUCUUGGUCUUUCAAAUGGAUGCUGGUGGGAGUCAAGUUUUGCCAGGCAAAUACAACUCCCAAGGUCUAAGUUAUUUCUGAGACCAAGACUUUGUAAAUUUCAAGUAGCUGUUUUAACUAUCACUGACAAUAGUCUUUAUUUUCAGCGGCGGUGUAUCUCCCCGUUAAAAGUGUUGGAGAAAAACAGCCUUUCAUCACCCCGCAAAGAGUAGGACCAGCUCUUUGCCAGUCUCCCCACUUCUUGUGUUUUCCACCUUAAGGAUUUAAAAUCUAAUAAGGAUAUUGGACACAGCCCCAAGUGACUACAAUACGUGGCAUAAUCUCACAGUGUAUCAAAUUUAAAUCCAUCAGUUUAACAUUCAGAGUCUUCCAGACGACUUACCGUCUUCCUCUUCUGCAUACAAUUAAAAAGUUCUGUGGAAACAGAGCUGCCUCCCGGGGCGUGGGGACAUGUCCUGCUGCUGAGGACGUUGGAGGAGGGUCUGAGGUGACAUGUCCCACCAGACCUUCCGCCCGGUUCCUUCAGACUUUGAGAUUUCACGACGACGUCACGCCUGUGCCACUGCCGCGUUUCGCUCAGCACCUUGCGGGCGUAGUGCACGUCUGUCUCCUCUCCAGCUCUCACGUCUGUCUGUCUGCCAGUUGCCUAGCAAUCCGUAACUGUCAACGGAAGCUCAACUUUAGAAAAUUAUUAGAGCAUUUCCUGCCCACUUGCUUGUCCUGGAAAAUCCACUUCACUAAACAGUGUGUGUUAUGUAUCCCCCCCACGCCCGCCCCCACGCCUCAACUUCGUCCGAUUUUGAAUUAAAAUGCAACGUCGCAUAGCGCCCAGUAGGAUCGCAGGGUUCGAAUCCUUGCUCCAGAACUUAUCAUUAGGGCCGUGUUCUUCCCCUCUCCACCUCUCAUUUUCCUGAACUGUAAAAUAGAACCGAUGACGCCGUCUCAGCGACGCGACGAGGAUUAAACACAACGGCGCGCGUACACGCUCAAGCUCGGCGCCCGAGCUCCAGCCGAUGCUAACUCGGUGUUAGCAACCGUGUUCUACGGUUAAUAAAAGCGACAGAUUUCUUUGAGCUGCUUUGAUUUAAGAAGACAGUGCCAUUUCCUGGGGCUAGCUAUACUGUCAUUCUGCCCUGAUGGGAAGGAAGAAGCACCAUUGGCAGCGAGUUGCCCGUUUAGAGGCAGGAUGGAUAUGAGGGCUGGAUAGGAGGUGAGCUGAAAUGUUACCCCCUGCCAGCUUUUUGAAAUGCAAAUUCAUCCAUCUCUUUGAUGUCUCUAGCCACUUCCAAUGAACAUCUUUCGGCAUAUUAUUUGCUUUCUUAACCACAUCACUUUUCACUGAGUUCAACAUUCCAGUAGGAUUCAAAGGAUCUUGGUACAUUCUUCCAAAAUGAAUUCAGAAGACUGUUGGCGUCUUAAGAACCGUACCUGGCUCUCACUCAUCUUGUACCCCCGGCAGGGUGGGGAUGUACACGGAUAUUACGAUGGACUCUCCUGCGAGAAUCUUCCUGCAGGAAACCGUACUCUCUGCUGGAGGCAGGAGAGCCAAGAACAUUAAAGUUGUUUGGCAACGACCUUAGAGUUGAGGUCCACCCUGGACCAGCUUCCGCGUAAGAUCUGAAAACCUCGGGAUCACGAAGCGAGCCAUGCGCGGUCGCAAACGCGCCUGGCUCUUCCGUGGCAGCUGGCGUCUCGGUUUCCAGGCUUUAGCCACGUGACAGGCUAUCCUGGAGAUCACUUCACAGCAGGACAUGAAGACCUCCUCUAUCCCCUUUCAGAGUUCAGAUACUCCGCCCUGAGGAUGUUUCGUAGUUUGUUCAACCAGACCCUAGUGAUGGGCGGCAUUCACUUGAUUUGAAUCUUUGGUUUUUAUAAACAAAGUCACAAUAGGCGGCCGUGUGCCCUGACUGUGUCUGAAGACGAAGGAUCAGCCCAGGAUCACUGAGCACCUGGAAACGCCACGAAGAAACGGCUGACGCCAGGUCUGGGAACGGAAUGUGCAAAGUGAGCCUGAAUCACCUGACAGCACAGAGAAAAGAUGCUGAUGGAGGCGGCGGGGGCACGUGAGAAGGACACAGAGGCUCUCGCGGGGCAGAGAUGGACCGAGUUAAAUAAGUAUCAGUAAUAACUGUGACAGGCUGAAAGACAGCAAGUAUAUUAAAGCGCCUUAGUUUGUAACGACUGAAGUUUCAAGUAGCAAUCGGUCACUUUUGACUAGAGAACCAUCGAAUGAUUGUGAAAAUUGACGAAAGAAAAGGCUUUUAAGCCUUUCUCCUGACUCACCUAUAUCAUAUACCUCAAGGCAACUAAAUAAUCGAUGAGAAGAAUUUUCUCUUUAUAGAAGGAUUCCAGCUAAUACAUUUUAAAUGAAUGAGAGAAUUCUAAUACUACCAUUUUCUACUCCCAAGGAAGCAAUGUGUCUAAGUAAUGACACCAGUGCUGCUGACAUCACAAGAGAGACGAGUGGCCGUUUUGCUCCUUAAUAGAGGCUGGUCACCAAGUAAACCAAAACAAUCUGAUCAAGCCUCUGGGUCCAACUCAUAAUUCGCAGAAAAUACGUGAGACGGAAGAAUAUGAUCGAUGACACCACAAAUCCAAAAAUAUGCAACGGAAAAAGAAAGAGUAAGAAGGAAAUUGAAUCUAUAAAUUCAAAGAGAUUUUCAAAAAUUUGUUUUGAUCCUGAUUUGAAGCUAGUUUUAAAACUUUUAAAAAUUAUAAGAUAGAAAACAUUUAAUGCAGUUAUUUAAUGAUAUUAAGGAACUAUCAUUAUGAGGUAAGAUACUGAUAUGGUGGUAAUUUUUUUAAAAAUAUUGAUAUUUUAGAGAUAAAGAAAAUGUUAUGGGUGAAAUAAUACAAGGUCUCGGUAAAGUAAUCUGAGGAGGAAAUAAAAUGAGAUCUGUUUGAAAUAAUUCAGGAAUUCAGGUGAGAUUGGACGUGGUGGGGGAGAGACGAAGCGAGACUGUCCACGUGCUGACAACCGUUUAAGAAGGUAAUCGACACACGGGGGCUUAUUAUACGCUUCUCUAUACUUUGACAUAUAAUAAAUAGCCUAUAAUGAAACUUUUUUGAGAAAGAUAUUGGAUAGCUUAAAAAGUAUAAUAAGGGGCAGAGAACGAAGGCCAAAGAUCUAGCUUCUAGGAACAACAAACAGAAAAUGAAGUCUCAGAAAUCCGCAGUGAGGCAUAUCCGGCGGCCGUCACAAAGCGUUGGAUUUUCUGCUCUCCCGUCUCUCCUCCCCCCUCGGGAACUCCUGAGGCAAAGUCAGGGGCAGAUGCCUCUGCUUAUCAGGCCCUUGGGCACAGCGCCACGGGAGUGUGGGCCAGGCGAGCAUCUAGUACUUUCCGUGCCAACAGCAAGAAGCGGGUUACUUGCCCCAUCCUCAUACUGAAGCAUCAAGAAGCGAGAAAUUCCCAAAAUCUAAGAAGGAAUUCAGGCGCUGGACAGGAAAAGGAAAUGACCAACAUUUGCCUCACUAGGCCGGUAACAACCUCCGUGAAUGUCAUUUUCCUCUUCUGUAAGAUGACCCCAGAAUGCGGUGAGGACAAAAGAGAGAAUGUAUCUGGGAGACAGCACUCGAGGUCCCUCAGCAAGCCUUUCUCCCUCCUUCCCUCCCUCCCUGCCUUCCUUCGUCUCUUCCUUCAGUUACUACCUCCAUUAUUUCCCCAGGAUGAUAUUCCAUUAAGGGACACAAACUAAGUCCGUAUUUUUGAAUUCGAAUUCGAUUGAACUGAAUCCAUGUUUUCAUUGGGAGAAAAAAAAAAAAUGUUCCCUUUUUCCUUAGCUCGCUCCUCGUACACCUGGCUUCACAGGAAAAGAAAUUCGCGUUUGGAAGUGCACACCUGCCUCGGCCACAGGUGAGAUAUAAAAGCGUUUCCACAUGUCCCAAAUCUCCAACCCUUGAUCAGGAUGACGGGGAACAUUCACUGUCCAGAAAAGCGAUGGACGCACUCGUCGAUCCACUGAAGUCUGCACUCCCCAGGAUGAAAACAGCCCCGCGUUUCCAGCAAUUUCCUCCGUCGUCGGCCCUGUGGUCUUGGGUCGACCCAACAAUGCGGCAGCCUUUCCUGAUCUGCUGAAGAGGAGUGUCGUGUAAAUAAUAAAAUAAUCCAAAGGUAACGAAGAGACGCCCGCCCAGAUUCUCACUUCUUCUGGCGCCCGCCACACAGACAGCCGAAAAGCACUUAGACAACGGAGAAGAAGCAACCGAGCCUGGACGACAAGUGCAAGACAGUGAUGAGAAGCUUUGGAGCCGAAGAAGCUGAGAACGUCUGCUCAUUUUGUCUCGCGGAAUGGAUGAAGAGAACACGGUGGGACACGAAGAGACAGAGUCCGAACGGAAACGAGAACAAGGAGGACUGAAAAUAAACGAGGUGCCAAUUAGCACCAGAUGGGACAGGGACCGUGUGAUGUGGAAUAGAACUCCAGCCACUGGGAACUGGAAUGAGGCCACGAACGUAUUAAGCAACGAAGGAGCCAGAAGUCGGGCCGGACUCGAGCUGGGCGCGACGUCGAGUCCCGGUCUGCGAAGGCCCAGAUGUCCCUUCUCCACUCACUGCCUGCGAGAAACAGCGAAGAAGCCCAGAGAGCGGAAACCCCGCGCCCUUGGGGCAUAGCCUUUCAUGGGCCUAUUUCCCUCUGAAUCCUUUCUCCAGGUUGAACUUGAACUAAUCUUUACAGAAUAAUUAAGUAAAGGUGCAAACGCCUGUUGUCUCGGAAACUUAGAUUUUUUUUAAGUAUAUCGUCCUUACUUCGCUGUCUUUACAUUUCUGACAUCUCGAUUUUUGAAAUUAUAACUGUAUAUACAAAUCCAAGUGUGGGAUCGAAGUGUCGGACGGGUACCUCGAACUUAAAGAGUUGUUUUUGCCAGUUCGAAGAGGAAAUAGUGGGCUGAAAUCAAGUGGCAUGACCGAAUGACAAGUGCUAAGCGAAUGAGUCGUGCCGUUCUUGCUAGAAGCAGCGGAACAAUCGUGGUUCUGACAUGAUUCCCUCUUGCCUGAGAAACUCAUCAACAUGGCCUCGAGGCUACACGUUUUUUUCAGCAGCUGCUGAUCCUUUCAUUUAAUUCUAAGCCACAAGUAAGCUUUUUAAAGAGGCGAUGUGUAUACCAAAGACUGUCCAGAGGACACUCUGUUCACAAAAUUUAAGACAGUCAGCACUGUUGGAAUUACAUGUUCUAAUACGAGAUGGGUGGAUUGGUGUGGGAGAAACAGGAGCCACCAUCCCCCCUCCUCCCCCACCCAGACUUAAACCAAAAUUGUUUUUGAGGUUCAGAAAUAUUCACAUGACAGCUUUCUAUGUUUGGCUAAAGCAGACUAAACUACAAUGCCAAGAAAAUGGUUUCUUCUAUCUUUUUCUGCUAAUACAGAUCCCACAGGACUUAGGAGCCUCCACGGUCCUGGCUGCCCACGCUCACGCACAGCCACCGUUUCAUUGCUAACAUUUAUUGCACACCUGUUACGUAGACAGAACCAAACUUUGUCCCGAAAGGAAAGAGGAACGAGUAAGAAGAAAUCGUGCCCUUGAUGCACACACCAUGUCCUGCGGGAAAAGCCACCUUGCCUAGGUGGCAGAAUCAAAUCCACGCAACAGAAAUAUGAAAACAGGAAAAGAGGAAGAAGCGACUUCGGCGGGGUAGGGUUCACCGUGCCGGUGAAAGGGAUGACAUCUGGAGGUCUGAGGUCUAAAAACGAACCACGGGGCGGUGUCUCUUCUCUUGUGAUAGCCACAAAGACAAGCAUGCCCUUGCUCCCCCGAUGACCGUAUCACACAAGAGCUCCCUUUUCUGAGUGGGCAUUGACCUUGAGGUCAGACUUGGAAUUCCAUCUCUGCCGUGUAUUAGCUACGUGACUCUGGGUUAACUAUUUAACUUCUCUAAAUCCAUUCCUAUACCGUGAAAAGGAAUAACAGAAUAGUUUUAUUAAUGUAGAAAAGGCAAAAUGAAAUAGUAUCUGUAACGUUGCCCUAGAGAGAUCAGAUCCGUAUACAGAUAGAUAUUGAAUUCUCGGGGCCCCUUCUCAUCUCUUUCUGGUUGCCCAUGAAGCUAACGAUUACUCUAAACUUAAAAGUAAUUGAGGUGGAAUGACUCGUACUGACCUCGAGGGCAGUAUGUAAAAACUCCCAUUUCUUCUAUUGUUAGGGAAACCAACUCAUGCAUUUAAAACUUAGAGCUAGUCAAAUUCGAUUCCUUAUUUUAGUAUAAAUAUCUUCUUAUAUGGGAGAUACAGAGCUAACGAUGGAUAGAAGGGAUUCUGGAGAGAAAAGAUAUUUAAGUACACAGACAGCACAGAAAUCUAAAAAUGCAAGCUGGAAUCUUAUCCCAAAAAACUCAAUUCUCGUAACUAAACAGAACAAAUUGCAUUUUUAAUGGCCAAUAUUCCAGGAGAAACCAGUACUCCUUACCCUUUUACGUGUCUUCGGGCGCUGAUAUUCGCUCUAAUGUAAACAGAAUGUUUGCUGGACGGACCAAGCACCACUUAAUAGGACACGACUUCAUUCUGGUGGAGAAAUUGUCUAAGGUUAUUGAAAUAUGACUUUUGCAACACGCGCGGCAUUUUGGCACGUGAUAGCGAUGGGACUGCAAUAAUUUUUCUUCCCCCUCGACGUAUUUCAGACACUUAUUUGAAAUCUAAAAUGGGGAGAACUAAACAAUGAUUCAGGGUGACCAGGUGGAAUACGGUGUCUGCUUUCCCCUGCUUCAGCAUCGUUUUCACUACUUGAUUCUCCUUACUAAUAGUAACAUUUUUUUUCUUCCGAAUACCUAUUUGCAGCUUUUUCGUUCUUAAUUAGUAUCCAUCUUUAGCAAAGACGAAAAAACUACGCUCUUCAUAUAAGUGCAAAGACGAUCUUCCGUUCUCUUUCCGACUCAAACGUGGAAGGGAGUCACAGACUAAGAAGAAGAAAGAGAUACACAAGUGACAAAGGGAAGGAGAAGAGCGAGCGAUACCUCCCCGCCAGCCCUUUUUUGGCCCACUUUCCACUCUCUCCUUCAAGUCUCUGCUCAGUCACAAAUCCGCUGUGGGGAACUGCUAUGUUUUCUACCUGGUUUCCGUUGCAUUCAAGAACAUCCGCGCCCAGAACACUUUUCGGCGUGUGACUUAGAAAUUUCAGGGGCUGAGACAACCCACCGGGUAAAAGUGGUAGAUAAGUAACAAAUCACAUUUUUAUCAAGUCUUUUCGUUUAAGUAUCCACAUCAAUUUCCUUGUGCCGAAUGAGUCAAAUGCUUACAACUCUGGUUCUGUCAUACUUGGCAGAGUAACACUACAUUUAUUGAUUUUUUUUUUUUUAUGGUCAAGAAGAAUUCUAUGAUCUUCAGCAAAUUUACCUCAUUACUGGCUCCCUCUCUUUGGGAUUUUACUCUAAAUUAUCACAAUGUCCAUUGUCAUCAGUUUAAGUGGUGGUUAUAGUAAGCCUAUCAUUUUUAUAAAAAUGUUAAAAUUCCUUUUAAAAACACAUUUAGGGGAUUAACUAGUGAACACAACAAAUGUUUGGAGAAAGUCACCUAUACCUAUUCAUUCAUUUAUGUAUUCAUUUAUACAACACUAUUUAUCGGGUUACUAUAUACAUAGUUAUAAGCAUUGGGAAUACAGCGGGGAAAAGAGAAAAGAAAAAUACCAGUCCCUCGUAUCAUGAAUAUUAUAAAAUGUCGUGAGGAGACAGACAGUGAGCACAAUAAAUAAGUAGAUUAAUAGCAUUUCAAAAGUGAUAAGUGCUAUAGAGAAAAAUGACAGAAUAAAAGGGAUGGAAGGUGCUGGAUGGCAGGAGUGUAAUUUUUAAACAGGAUGAUCAUGGGGAUCUGAGAAGACGACACCAAGCAAAGAAUUAAAGGAGAUGCAGGAGCCAGCCAAAUGCAUAGCUGCAAAAUGACUGCUCUAAGCAAAGACCCAGAGGUGGGAGCACGCAGUGUGCUAGUUACAAGAUGUGAUGGUGAACUUUAUGUGCCAACUUGCCUGGGUUAAGGGAUGCCCGGAUAGCUGGUAAAAUGUUAUUUCUGAGUGUGUCCGUGAGAGUGUUUCUGGAAGAGGUGAGCAUCUGAAUCAGCAGAUUGAGAAAAGAUCGCCUUCACCGGCGCAGGUGGGCAUCAUCCAAUAAGAAAGGCAGAGGAAGGGCGAAUUCACCCUCUGCGUGAGCUGGGCAGCCAUCUCCUCCUAUGCUCCGAUACUGAUACCGCUGGCUCUCGAGUGUUGGGAGUCACAUUAGGACUUAGUGCCAUCAACUGCCCUGGUUCUCAGGCUGACUAGGAGACUGACUGGCAGCACCAGCUGUGCUGGGUCUCCCGCUUGCAGAUGGCAAAUCUUGGGACUUCUCAGCCUUCAUAACGGUGUGAGCCAUUUCCUAUUUCCUCUACUAAAUCAAGAGAGAGAGAGAGAUUAUUAUUAUUCCAUAUUAUUUCAGGCUGUUCAGAGAAUCGGAGACACGAUUUUACCAUAGCAUUUGAAAAUCAAGCUCAUAAAAUAUGUUCCAAUAAAAUAUUACUCUAUUUCCUUCACGUUAGGCUCAGAAGAAUUUUAUGCUAAAUGAGAUCAGUGUUCCCUUUAUUUAGAUUUAUGGUAUGCACAAAACAUAACAAUAUGACAACAGAGCAAGUAUCAUUAUUCAAAAUCAAGUUAUUAAUUUUUAUUUUCCAUUGUAAUAUAAUGCAUCUACACAUACAAACACUGAGAUGUUUGCUUUUGGGAAAAAAGUAAAGGUUGGAAUAUAUAAACAUUGUGUAAGUUAUGAUAUAAAGUUACAUUUUAUGGGCAAUUUUAUUAGUCUUAUAUCCAUCAGCCAAAAGUCUCAGGUGCUUAGGUUGGUGGAAAAAUAAGCUACUGUCUGUAGAGUUUUCAAUAAAACAGUCAAAAAAGAAGUCGAUGUUAAAGAAAAAUUGACAUAAAAAAACUAAUAUUAUUUUAGAGA